AUUUUCUCUCUUAGGGGGGGAGAUGUAAGGAAAUUCCAUUACAUUUCCUCGGAUUAAUUUAAAAUCUCCCGGUAAAACGGUCGGUAAUACGGGCAUCUAGAUGUGCAAAGAAAAAUUAAUAGAGGUUAGAAAAGAGAAACCCACGUGGAGAGAAAAUACGGUGAAUAAAAUUUAAUUUGACAAAGUGUUAUUAUAAUAGAAUCAGUGAAUAAGAAACAUUGAAUGUUGUUUCUUUGUUUUUCAGGUCUUAAGAAAAAAAUCGGGCGAUGGCUUAAUCGUAUUAAUAAUAUAUCAUAGCGUGGCCAGAAGACUUGGUUUACGUUGCAAUGUAAUAGAUAAUUGCCCUUAUUAUAUAUUUUGGAAACCAAAAUAUACUAAUGACGGAUUAGAAAAUGUGCGAUAUUUGCUAGUUGAACGGCAGGAUGAUUUAUCAUGGCCCACACCAUUAUUGUCAGACUUUCAUGAAUUCUAUAAGAUGUAUGUUAAUAAGGUAUGGAACUACUUAAAAAUAAAUUUCAAAGAAAUGUUGGUUUGGCUAAUGCAAUAUUCAAGUUGGAGUCAAAUGCUUAUGAAAUU